rnacentral:tRNA from 1 species
GCCGGGAUGGCGGAAUAGGUAGACGCACCGGACUCAAAAUCCGGCGCCGCAAGGCGUACCGGUUCGAUUCCGGUUCCCGGCACCA